AUUGAACGCUGGCGGCAGGCCUAACACACGCAAGUCGAGCGGAUGACGGGAGCUUGCUCCUUGAUUCAGCGGCGGACGGGUGAGUAAUGCCUAGGAAUCUGCCUGGUAGUGGGAGACAACGUUUCGAAAGGAACGCUAAUUCCGCAUACGUCCUACGGGAGAAAGCAGGGGACCUUCGGGCCUUGCGCUAUCAGAUGAGCCUAGGUCGGAUUAGCUAGUAGGUGAGGUAAUGGCUCACCUAGGCGACGAUCCGUAACUGGUCUGAGAGGAUGAUCAGUCACACUGGAACUGAGACACGGUCCAGACUCCUACGGGAGGCAGCAGUGGGGAAUAUUGGACAAUGGGCGAAAGCCUGAUCCAGCCAUGCCGCGUGUGUGAAGAAGGUCUUCGGAUUGUAAAGCACUUUAAGUUGGGAGGAAGGGCAGUAAGCUAAUACCUUGCUGUUUUGACGUUACCGACAGAAUAAGCACCGGCUAACUCUGUGCCAGCAGCCGCGGUAACAC
rnacentral:rRNA from 1 species